UACGAAGGGUGCAAACGUUGCUCGGAAUUAUUGGGCGUAAAGCGCACGUAGGCGGCUUUGCAAGUCCGAUGUGAAAUCCCUCGGCUUAACCAAGGAAGUGCAUCGGAACUGCAGAGCUUGAGUACUUAAGAGGAUCGCGGAAUUCCCGGUGUAGAGGUGAAAUUCGUAGAUAUCGGGAGGAACACCAGUGGCGAAGGCGGCGAUCUGGGAAGAUACUGACGCUGAGGUGCGAAAGCGUGGGUAGCAAACAGG
rnacentral:rRNA from 1 species